AUUUCACGUGUAGGGGUAAAAUCCGUAGAGAUGUGAAGGAACACCGGUGGCGAAGGCGCCUACCUGGAUGAGCACUGACGCUGAGGCGCGAGAGCGUGGGGAGCAAACAGGAUUAGAUACCCUGGUAGUCCACGCCGUAAACGAUGAGUACUAGCCCUUGGAGGUAUUGACCCCUUCAGGAGCGCAGCUAACGCAUUAAGUACUCCGCCUGGGAAGUACGGUCGCAAGACUAAAACUCAAAGGAAUUGGCGGGGGCCCACACAAGCGGCGGAUUAUGUGGUUUAAUUCGAAGCAACGCGCAGAACCUUACCAAGACUUGAAAUCCUAGGAAUCCGAUGUAAUGGUCGGAGUGCUCGCAAGAGAAUCUAGUGACAGGUGCUGCAUGGCUGUCGUCAGCUCGUGUUGUGAAAUGUUGGGUUAAGUCUCGCAACGAGCGCAACCCCUAUCUUUAGUUGCCAGCAUUAAGUUGGGCACUCUAGAGAGACUGCCCGGGUUAACCGGGAGGAAGGUGGGGAUGACGUCAAGUCCUCAUGGCCCUUAUGUCUUGGGCUACACACGUAAUACAAUGGUUGAUACAAAGGGAAGCGACCCGGUGACGGUGAGCAAAUCUCAAAAAGUCAAUCUCAGUCCGGAUUGGAGUCUGCAACUCGACUCCAUGAAGUUGGAAUCGCUAGUAAUCGCGGAUCAGCACGCCGCGGUGAAUACGUUCCCGGGCCUUGUACACACCGCCCGUCACACCAUGGGAGUUGUUUUCAUUUUAAGACGUGACU
rnacentral:rRNA from 1 species